rnacentral:misc_RNA from 1 species
AAGUCGUAACAAGGUUUCCGUAGGUGAACCUGCGGAAGGAUCAUUAACACGUAUCCAAACGUUAAAACCCCCCUCCCCCUGUGAACCUUCAUCCCGCUCUUGUAACCCGCGAAGCUUGCAAUCUCUGGUAAAUCAUAGCCCGGAAAGUAGUUUGAUUCAGAGGCCUCUGACCCGUGCGAACAUUGGAACAGUUACAAUCGACUGCGGUAGUUAUAGAGUGUCAUUGAUUGUGCAAGGAUAGCGCUUCACGAUUCCUGUAGACCGUACACUCGGGCAGGAGCUAUGCCAAAGGGUCCCCAUGCCCCUUUAUAACCCCACAGUUUAAUGUGAAGCUCCGAACAACUGUUAACAAUGAAUAUCUUGGUUCUC